rnacentral:snoRNA from 1 species
GGCGAUGACGAGACCGGCACUGGCUGAUGUGUGAUGAGCACUCGGUUGGCGGAGCU